AGCAAACUAUAUUGCGGGUUGCCAUCAAACACCAAAUCAGCCCUUUUAUUGGCACGCAUUCUUUGUCAGCCCUCAUUUUCUCAUAGAUAACUUCGCGAAGCUCUUACCGUUCAAAUCACGAUUGAUGUGAAGAAGAGUAAUGAAAAUAGCAAUUAGACACAUUGAACUUCACAGGUCUGCUCCAGAUAUUAUUAGGAGAGAUGGGCUAAUCAUGUGAAAGCACAGGAAGCAAGAGGGUUGCAUAAAGGGAAGGUCAAGCUACGCCAUUGGCUGCGAUGGAUUAGUGAUAUCAGGUUCAUCAACAGAACCAGAAAAACAACAAAUAAAGACAUUGCAGCAAUGUUGAUGAAAAUUUCAAGAAAGUUGCAGUGACAGUUUCGGGAGACAUACAUACGAGGCAGAAACUGAAAGAUGUAUCAACUCUAUUCACCAAAGAUUGUGACGGGAAUAAGUGAAUAAAGAUGAAGACCUGAGUUAUGUCUACAAUUUCAAAGCUUGGAUGGUACAUGAAGACAAAUCUUGGCAAUUGAUUGGUAGGAACACAUGAAGCUCAAUACUGAAACUGAUUCUUGAUAACUAACAACUUACCUU